UACGUAGGGUGCAAGCGUUAAUCGGAAUUACUGGGCGUAAAGCGUGCGCAGGCGGUUAUGCAAGACAGAUGUGAAAUCCCCGGGCUUAACCUGGGAACUGCAUUUGUGACUGCAUAGCUAGAGUACGGUAGAGGGGGAUGGAAUUCCGCGUGUAGCAGUGAAAUGCGUAGAUAUGCGGAGGAACACCGAUGGCGAAGGCAGUCCCCUGGGCCGGAACUGACGCUGAGGCGCGAAAGCGUGGGUAGCAAACGGG
rnacentral:rRNA from 1 species